GCUAAACGCGAAGAACCUUACCAGCUUUUGACAUGUCCGGUUUGAUCGGCAGAGAUGCCUUUCUUCAGUUCGGCUGGCCGGAACACAGGUGCUGCAUGGCUGUCGUCAGCUCGUGUCGUGAGAUGUUGGGUUAAGUCCCGCAACGAGCGCAACCCUCGCCCCUAGUUGCCAUCAUUCAGUUGGGAACUCUAGGGGGACUGCCGGUGAUAAGCCGCGAGGAAGGUGGGGAUGACGUCAAGUCCUCAUGGCCCUUACAGGCUGGGCUACACACGUGCUACAAUGGCGGUGACAAUGGGCAGCGAAAGGGCGACCUCGAGCUAAUCCCAAAAAGCCGUCUCAGUUCAGAUUGCACUCUGCAACUCGAGUGCAUGAAGGUGGAAUCGCUAGUAAUCGUGGAUCAGCAUGCCACGGUGAAUACGUUCCCGGGUCUUGUACACACCG
rnacentral:rRNA from 1 species